AUGUGUAAAGCAAUUUAAUCACUUGUAUAAACCCCUAUUAAAAUGAAUUGAGCUGCAAUAUGCCUAACACUCUCUCCAAAUUGAACAAUUGACAACUAAUUUUGCAUUGACAAAAGGUGAAAAUGGACAUUUUUAGUGGACUGAUAGAGUAGUUAAUGUGUUUGCAUGUCAUAACUCAGUUUUGAGAGACCUGAUCCUGGAAAUUAUACUAUUUCUCUUUGUUGUAUUUUUGGUAUAAGUAAUUGUCUCGACAAUUGCAGUUUGCCUUUUCUAUUGUAGCAGGAAAGUCUUCUUUAGUAUCCUUAUCAUCAAUAUAAAGCUUCUGGUUAUUUUCUGCUCUUGCAUUGAUCAUGGUUGAUAUCAUAUCUGGCAGAAAAUAAAUAAUUUGUUAAAAAAGCUGAUCGGCUGAAUUUUUCUUGUAAUUUUCCAGGUCUAAGGAUGCAUCCUUCAUA
rnacentral:misc_RNA from 1 species